rnacentral:rRNA from 1 species
GAUGAACGCUAGCUACAGGCUUAACACAUGCAAGUCGAGGGGAAACGAUAUUGGAAGCUUGCUUCCGAUAGGCGUCGACCGGCGCACGGGUGAGUAACGCGUAUCCAACCUACCUUUAACAGGGGGAUAACACUGAGAAAUUGGUACUAAUACCCCAUAAUAUCAUAGAAGGCAUCUUUUAUGGUUGAAAAUUCCGAUGGUUAGAGAUGGGCAUGCGUUGUAUUAGCUAGUUGGUGGGGUAACGGCUCACCAAGGCGACGAUACAUAGGGGGACUGAGAGGUUAACCCCCCACACUGGUACUGAGACACGGACCAGACUCCUACGGGAGGCAGCAGUGAGGAAUAUUGGUCAAUGGACGCAAGUCUGAACCAGCCAUGCCGCGUGCAGGAUGACGGCUCUAUGAGUUGUAAACUGCUUUUGUACUAGGGUAAACUCACCUACGUGUA